rnacentral:antisense_RNA from 1 species
AAAGAUCGCAGCCUUCGGCAGCUCCUACAUGGGAUUUUUGUGCACCCUUUAGAAGCUGCCGAAGGCUGCGAUUUUU